GCCUCUUAGUUUUCGCUUAGGGAACAGCGAAGCGCCAGAGUGACUACGUUCUUCGAGGGAAUUUGUAUCGUGCUUGGUGAACUUACGAUCGCAUUUUUGUGGCUCGCAAGAAGGGCUACGUGAUGUCUCGGUGACCCUUGGAUGCUCUAUAAUAUCUAGGUUUCUUCACGGUUGAUCAGAACUCUGAUGGUUCAGAGAUUUUGUUGCAUGCGAAUCACUUGAAGAAAACUCUUGGGAAACAACGAAACCAAAAUUCUUAUGCCAGUGUUUGUCUCAAGUUACACAAAAAGGACUCCAUUAUCCAGAAUUACAGGCACAGCUAUUCAAGAUAAGGCAAACAAUACUUCUGCUAUUCAAGAAAUGUGCUCAAUGCUUUUACUCCACAAUAUAGUUCAGGAAGAGAUGAGAAUGGAGUAGUUAUGUUGAUAUACUCCUGCAUUCAAAGUUCAAGGCUGUAAUUAGAAAUCAAUGAACGGUAUUAAAUGAACAUAAAAAUAA